UAACUGUUUGCGAGCUGGAAAACCGAAACGGACGUUAUCUUUUUGUCAUAAGAAAGAACGCAGCUGAGUAGGGAAGGUGUAUCCUACAGCUCCGCCAGCUGGAACGUGAGCCAGGAGGCCUGGACCGGCUAAGGGAUUGAGGGGCACUCCCAAAGACGUCCGGCUGCUCCUUUCCAGCCUCCCGGCUGUUACCCUUUUAAAUGUCAGCGUUCGAGGCUGUAGGGGUAGCACGAGGCAUCGAAACGGAACAGUCGGAUUGGCCGCGCGCCUCAGUUCUAGACGCACCUCUCCACCGAAAGGCCGUUCUGACUGGCAGCGGGAGAAAGUAAACAGAGUUGAAUCACCCUCCCCACUGGCCAAUUGGAGGGGGUUCGGAUUGUGACGUGAUGGGAUUCUGCGAAAUUGUUACUGUGCGAGAGAAUGCCGGCACGGUGCGGACCGGCAAGAGCAGGGGCUCAGAAGCUGUCAGUGGACUGGGGGAAAAGUGUCUCUUAGACCUGGCGCUUCGUCCGGCGCUUGCCACCCGCGUCCAGGUGGUUGGGUGAAUGUCCUGGGGCUUUGGCUCGACGGAGAGGCAGCCGAGGGCGUGUACCUCUCUUGCAGUUUCCUCUCCCAGCGCCUCGGGGGCGUUUUCGGUCGAAUAAACUUGCGACCGCCACGUGUGGCAUCUUUCCAAGGGAGCGAGCUCGGAGUGGCGGGCGCGCCCGUCGGUGGGGAUCGCGCCCGGCUCUGGGCAUCGGCGGCGGCGAGAGGCGGCAGCGCGGCGGAGCCCGGGGCCGUGGAUGCUGCGUGCGGAGGCGCUGCCGGUUACGUAAAGAUGAGGGGCUGAGGUCGCCUCGCGCUCUGCGAGUCGGAAGCGCCCCGCGCCCCCGCCCCCUUGGCCACCGCGCGGCGCAGCGCUCGUAGUCCGAGGCCAGGGCACGGCGAGCCGAACCUCCGCAGCCACCGCCAAGUUUGGCCGAGCCGCCGGGGCUGCUGUCGCCCGCACCAUGUCCGCAGCCGCCUACAUGGACUUCGUGGCUGCCCAGUGUCUGGUUUCCAUUUCGAACCGCGCUGCGGUGCCGGAGCAUGGGGGCGCUCCGGACGCCGAGCGGCUGCGACUACCUGAGCGCGAGGUGACCAAAGAACAUGGUGACCCGGGGGAUACCUGGAAGGAUUACUGCACGCUGGUCACCAUCGCCAAGAGCUUGCUGGACCUGAACAAGUACCGACCCAUCCAGACCCCCUCGGUGUGCAGCGACAGCCUGGAGAGUCCGGAUGAGGAUAUGGGAUCCGACAGCGACGUGACCACCGAAUCUGGGUCGAGUCCUUCCCACAGCCCGGAGGAGAGACAGGAUCCUGGCAGCGCGCCCAGCCCGCUCUCCCUCCUCCACCCUGGAGUGGCUGCGAAGGGGAAACACGCCUCCGAAAAGAGGCACAAGUGCCCCUACAGUGGCUGUGGGAAAGUCUAUGGAAAAUCCUCCCAUCUCAAAGCCCAUUACAGAGUGCAUACAGGUGAACGGCCCUUUCCCUGCACAUGGCCAGACUGCCUUAAAAAGUUCUCCCGCUCCGAUGAGCUGACUCGCCACUACCGAACCCACACAGGGGAGAAGCAGUUCCGCUGUCCGCUGUGCGAGAAGCGCUUCAUGAGGAGCGACCACCUGACCAAGCACGCCCGGCGGCACACAGAGUUCCACCCCAGCAUGAUCAAGCGAUCCAAAAAGGCGCUGGCCAGCCCUUUGUGAGGUGCUGCCCACCUCAGCCAGGGAGGGACAGACCUGGAAGGACAGACUACUCCCAGCGGACAGACAGACACGUGGGAACCACAGCCCCCAGGAGGCCUGCCGCCAGCAUAGGAAGCUGCUGUUCUCUGCAAAACCACUCUCUUGAAUCACGUCACCUUUUGAGAUACAAAACGCCAUAGCACAGCUGUCUUUAUGCAAGCAAGAGCACAUCUACUCCAGCAUGAUCUGUCAUCUAAAGACUUGAAAACAAAAAAGUUACUUAUAGUCAAUGGACCUCUGAGGAAGGAGAUGGAAUGGAGGCUGCAUUAAACUACUAUAUUAUACUGGAGGGGAAUAUUUAUAUUUUCAGCAGCUCUGUACAGCUCCUUACGGAAGAUACCACUGUUAUCCACAUAUUUCAGAUGGGGGAAAUGACUAACUUGCUAACACAGUCUACCUUGUGAUAUUCUGAGCAGAUCACCCAGCCACGCUGUGGUGGACUUCUGAUCUACAGAACUAAAAAAAAUCUUUAAGAAUAAUCUACCAAAGGAUAAAGAUUGCAGCUGGAGUGCUCUACAAACGGCUGUCCUACCUCUAUCGAUCUUCUGUUGAAAACUCUCCAGUGGACUUCAUCUCAAAGUAAAGCCCAAAUUCCUUCUAUGGUCUGUAAGGCCCUACAGGAUCUGACUUCUGCCCUCCUUGGAUAAUAAAUUUUAGCCUAAGAUUCUUUCUAUUCUGAAA